rnacentral:siRNA from 1 species
GGGCUGACCAUGGACUUGC